AAAGGAAUUGACGGGGACCCGCACAAGCAGCGGAGCAUGUGGUUUAAUUCGACGCAACGCGAAAAACCUUACCAAGGCUUGACAUUGUAUGCAUAUCUAAGAGAUUAGAGAAUUUAUAGCAAUAUAACAUAUAAACAGAUGGUGCAUGGUUGUCGUCAGCUCGUGUCGUGAGAUGUUGGGUUAAGUCCCGCAACGAGCGCAACCCUUGUCGCUAGUUACCAUCAUUUAGUUGGGGACUCUAGUGAGACUGCCGUGGAUAACACGGAGGAAGGUGGGGAUGACGUCAAAUCAUCAUGCCUCUUACGCCUUGGGCUACACACGUGCUACAAUGGCCAUUACAAAGAGACGCAAUACAGUAAUGUGGAGCAAAUCUCAAAAAGAUGGUCUCAGUUCGGACUGUGGGCUGCAACCCGCCCACACGAAGUCGGAGUUGCUAGUAAUCCCGAAUCAGAAUGUCGGGGUGAAUGCGUUCCCGGGUCUUGUACACACCGCCCGU
rnacentral:rRNA from 1 species